AUUGAACGCUGGCGGCAGGCCUAACACAUGCAAGUCGAGCGGAUGAAGGGAGCUUGCUCCUGGAUUCAGCGGCGGACGGGUGAGUAAUGCCUAGGAAUCUGCCUGGUAGUGGGGGAUAACGUCCGGAAACGGGCGCUAAUACCGCAUACGUCCUGAGGGAGAAAGUGGGGGAUCUUCGGACCUCACGCUAUCAGAUGAGCCUAGGUCAGAUUAGCUAGUUGGUGGGGUAAAGGCCUACCAAGGCGACGAUCCGUAACUGGUCUGAGAGGAUGAUCAGUCACACUGGAACUGAGACACGGUCCAGACUCCUACGGGAGGCAGCAGUGGGGAAUAUUGGACAAUGGGCGAAAGCCUGAUCCAGCCAUGCCGCGUGUGUGAAGAAGGUCUUCGGAUUGUAAAGCACUUUAAGUUGGGAGGAAGGGCAGUAAGUUAAUACCUUGUUGUUUUGACGUUACCAACAGAAUAAGCACCGGCUAACUUCGUG
rnacentral:rRNA from 1 species